UACGUAGGGUGCGAGCGUUGUCCGGAAUUAUUGGGCGUAAAGGGCUCGUAGGCGGUUUGUCGCUUCGGGAGUGAAAACACUGGGCUUAACUCAGUGCUUGCUUCCGAUACGGGCAGACUAGAGGUAUUCAGGGGAGAACGGAAUUCCUGGUGUAGCGGUGAAAUGCGCAGAUAUCAGGAGGAACACCGGUGGCGAAGGCGGUUCUCUGGGAAUGUCCUGACGCUGAGGAGCGAAAGUGUGGGGAGCGAACAGG
rnacentral:rRNA from 1 species